rnacentral:rRNA from 1 species
UUUUCGCAAUGCCCGAAAGGGUGACGAAGCGACGCCGCGUGUGGGAAGAAGGCCUUCGGGUUGUAAACCACUGUCGGGAGUUAAGAAAUGCAAGGAUAUUAAUAGUGUCUUUGUUUGACUAAGGCUCCGGAGGAAGCCACGGCUAACUCUGUGCCAGCAGCCGCGGUAAUACAGAGGCGGCAAGCGUUGUUCGGAAUUAUUGGGCGUAAAGAGCACGUAGGCGGCUAUGUAAGUCGGUUGUGAAAGCCUUCCGCUCAACGGAAGAACAGCAUCCGAUACUACAUGGCUUGAGUGCGGGAGGGGAGAGUGGAACUUCUGGUGGAGCGGUGAAAUGCGUAGAUAUCAGAAGGAACGCCGGCGGCGAAAGCGGCUCUCUGGCCCAUAACUGACGCUGAGUGUGCGAAAGCUAGGGGAGCAAACGGGAUUAGAUACCCCGGUAGUCCUAGCCGUAAACGAUGGGCACUAAGUAGAGGGGUUUAUCGAA